rnacentral:rRNA from 1 species
AUUGAACGCUGGCGGCAUGCUUUACACAUGCAAGUCGAACGGCAGCGCGGGCUUCGGCCUGGCGGCGAGUGGCGAACGGGUGAGUAAUACAUCGGAACGUGCCCAGUAGUGGGGGAUAGCUCGGCGAAAGCCGGAUUAAUACCGCAUACGACCUGAGGGUGAAAGCGGGGGAUCUUCGGACCUCGCGCUAUUGGAGCGGCCGAUGGCAGAUUAGCUAGUUGGUGGGGUAAAGGCCUACCAAGGCGACGAUCUGUAGCUGGUCUGAGAGGACGACCAGCCACACUGGAACUGAGACACGGCCCAGACUCCUACGGGAGGCAGCAGUGGGGAAUAUUGGACAAUGGGCGAAAGCCUGAUCCAGCAAUGCCGCGUGUGUGAUGAAGGCCUUCGGGUUGUAAAGCACUUUUGGCGGGAACGAAAAGGACUGUGCCAAUACCACGGUUCGAUGACGGUACCCGAAGAAUAAGCACCGGCUAACUACGUG